CCCUAGCCCUGAUAGCAGCGGCAUCCUUUUAUUUUUUCCUUUAAAAAAUAAAAGAUACAGCGGAUAGCAGGAUUAAGC
rnacentral:sRNA from 2 species